rnacentral:rRNA from 1 species
UACGUAGGGGGCAAGCGUUGUCCGGAUUUACUGGGCGUAAAGAGCGCGCAGGCGGUCGUUCAAGUCGAGUGUGAAAGCCCCCGGCUCAACUGUGGGCUUGCAGCUGAUACGGGCAGGCUUGAGUUCGGUAGGGGAGACUGGAAUUCCUGGUGUAGCGGUGAAAUGCGCAGAUAUCAGGAGGAACACCGGUGGCGAAGGCGGGUCUCUGGGCCGAUACUGACGCUGAGGAGCGAAAGCGUGGGGAGCGAACAGG